UGUAAAAAAUAAAGAAAUGUACAGUGCAUACUUGCAUAGUAUUAAAGAAGAAAAUUAAAGAUUAAAGAAUGUUCAUCGCUUUGGAUACCAGAUGUCCCCUGAAACACCAGAUUCAGGUAAUGAAAAGUGGAAAACGGUAAGAAAAGCUUUGUUUCACUAUCACUAAACACUUUUAGACCAAACAUAUUUUCAUCUUUACAAUUAAAUCUACAAAAUAAGUCAGAAUAUUUCUGAUAUUUGUUCUGUUUUCUUUUAUCCUCUAGCAGAUCUGACGUCACUGAUCAGAAGAACAGCAGCAGCUGCAGAAGCCACGCCCAUCAGAGCAGUGAUAACCAAUCGCAUCACAGCUUCAACUGUAUCACAACACUGGAUGUGGACAUCUAAAACUGUUACAAGAAAACGCUACUAUAAGAAAAGGCCUACUGAGACUAAUAAAGUUUUCUGUAGAUGCAAAAUAUCCUGACUGAAGCUACAAUCAACAGAGAUCCAGCAACAGCAGAAACCAGCACUAUCAGACACACUGAAUCUGGAAGAUAUGAAGGAGACUGUUCUGUAACAGCUAAAGAGAAUAGAGAGAAAAUAAUGAGAGAGUCACAUGACCCACAUUCACCACUGAACACAACAAUGAAC